CUCGUUCCGCCCGCAACGACUACUACCCCCCCGUCGGACCUUCUCGACCGGUCCGCGAAAUAUUGUCUGACACCCUCUCUAUUCCAUGCGCCACCGUCGACCCGCCAUAUGUCUCACGUUUGUCGGUUUUCAGGGUAAUUAUGAAUUAAAUCUGCUGUUUUUGCAAUGAGCUUCGGCCUCGUCCUGUUUCACUUCCUGCUGUGUCUGUCUGUACAUUGGAAUGGUAACAGGCGACUUGGUGGCUUUUUUUGAGCUGAUCGAAAAUGUUCUAAGUGGCUGGUUGAUCACUUUUGUCGUAUUCAGGGAGAUUAGAUGAUUCAGUAGAAUGGUGAGAUCGAUUUAUUUAAUAAAUUCUGGGUCAGCUGAUUGUCUGAGGCUUUCACAAAAGCCUUCUCUAGAGUAGUUCAUCCUAUCAACGUAAAACUUUACAUGUGCACUGUCCACACUCUAUUUUUUGGAGCAGAGGCCAAGAGCUUUGGUGCACUGUGGGAUGAAUGUUUGUGCUCUGGUAUCGGCAAGCUCAAAAGGUGAUUACAACCUUCCAACUGAUGGCGUCAUUGCAGAAAUGCAACUCACACACUCCAGUUCCCUGUCAGGUAAACAGUUAGCUCUGUCAGCCCUGCUGCCAUUGUUUGCACAGUUAGCGGCGUUAGUUGUAAGCCGGAGACUGGGCUGCUGCCAUGUUGACAGCCAGAGGCAAUAGAAUUCUGUAUGUUCAGAAUUUUUCUCCAUUCUGUAUUCAGCACCUUUAAUUAAGUUGUAGUGGAUACUCUUAAAAUAGUCAUUACAAUCAUUUCAAAUGAGUUAAGCUAAAAUAUUACCCACUAGCGACUCCAGACGUACCACCCUAUGGGGUACAAGAACCUCUGGUCGGGAAUUACUACUGGAAAGUAUGCAGCCAGCAUCUGAAUUUGCAGGUGUGGUGUAAAAGAGAGAGAGGGAGACAAAGAGGAAGAUAUCUUAUCUCGCUAGCAUAGCAAGGAUAUAUUUCCUAUACAGUUAAAUUAUCUAUGCUAGACUCAUCGCAGUCAUUGGACACACAUUAAAUCAAAAGACUCAGAAAUAAAAAGAAUUUCCUUCAUCCUUUCAUUAGAGACUUUAUCCAACUUUCAUUCCUCUAUUUAUCUAUCUGCGAGAGCAUUCAUGUGUCACUUUCUCUUAUCCUUGGAGACAAGCAUGGAGACAAUGGUUCCACUGCAGCAUUUCCUUCUGUUCUGUCUCUGCUCAGCAAAACAUGACGGAACAAAUGAACCAAUUAAGUGUGCUGGUGGCUGUGCUGUCCCUGGGGGGGCAUCUAAGGAACUGAGACGGCCUGAUUAGCUCCAAGGUAGGCCUGACUGGAGACAGCCUGCUAAGAGUGAGAAAAGCUCCCAUAGUGUGAACACACACCACUUGGAAGUGCACCUGUGUGUAUCGCCCUCUAUGCUCUUGGCAUUUUGAUUGGUCUUGAUUGGUGUCUAAGCUGUUUUUAACAUCACAUUUUUACAGAGGGGCACACACAAACAAAUGUGUGUGUCAGCGGGGCAGUACGAGCGGGCUUGAUGAAUGUGCUGGGGAUUGUAAUCUAACAACAGACGCAAACCUUAUAGCAAGCAAUAUCACCUAAAAUGUGGGCUACAUGAUAAGACAACAAAUCACUUUCAUGAGUGACUUUUCCAGUUAAGGAGUCCAGGAAUGUCCAAGGUACUCUAACUUUAUUUCCAUUGAUCCCAUGUGCUUCAGGAACACCUAGAUGGUUCCGUUGACUGUAAACAAGAAUGAUCAGUUAAUACUUGGAGUAUUGAUCCAACGUAACCCUCUAACAUUGAAUCUCUUUGAAGAUACUGUUCAAUCUUUCUGUUAUCACACAGUUGAAACUUGUAGGUUCUCUUGGGACGCUAAACGUUGCUUACAGAGAGACAUCUACAGCUGCCUGUUAACAAAGUAGAGGUUGCAAAACGGACAACAAAAGUUGGCCUGGCCAUUUCACUUUUUCAAAAAGAAAAAAAUGUUUAUUUCUUCAGGAAGUUUUAUAUCAGCUAGAAUUGGCCAUGUUCAAUUUUGACAGAUAAGCAUUGGCAUGUUAUGGGAAUAUCCAGAAUAAAACAGCUGACCAGUCAUAUCAUUUGAAUGUUUAGAAUCUAUUCUUCAAAGAUUAAUUUUCAUUCAUUCAUUGCCCUAAAGGAGCAACCGUAAAAACAUUUCCAUCCUAUAAAUAAGUUCUAAGGUGACAUUUCAAAAUGUGCUUGGGAAUUCACCCCGAAUACACCCGCACUACUCCGCUCCUGCGCUCCUGUGACUGGUGUAAUGGGGAAAUGAUAUGUAACCCUUUCAAAUGCUUCAUUUGUAUAACCAGUUUAUUAAUUGCAAGUGCUUAGAUGACAAAGGCCCUGACAUAAGAACUGACGUCUGCCACUUGGAUUAGAUGUUUCCAGCGUCAUAGCUGUAGAGAUUAGAGAAGUGUUUGUUAUGUCUAUGACCACAUUUGUUUUAGCAUGUUGGGAGAGCAAGGACACGGUCAAAGAACUGACGUGUCUUACAUGGAUAAGAUGUUCCCAGUACCCUGGCUGUAGAUACUCAACAAGAUGGUCAAGGUUUCUGUUGACGCCACCGAUAUCUAAACUUAGGUAUAAGAACUGCCUCGAUGUGUUGGGGGCAGAAAGAGGUUCUUGACAGUCUACUGACCACGUAGCUGUUGUGACCCUCUUUCCCUUGUAAGGAAAUAAACUGAGAAAAGACAUACUUGACUCAGAGCCUUUGUUUUUUACUUAACGAUUGUCUGUGCAAAAUCUUCCACCACACUGGUUACCAGUAGCUGCCGGCAUCCAUUUAGGAACAUUGGUAUUUGCGUACCGUGCGGCAAACAGAUCAGGUCCAGUCUACAUCUAGAACAUGGUCAAACCUUACGUCCCUGAUCUGCCAAUCUGCUUAUUGCUCCCUCACAGAGAGCGAAACACUCAACAAAACCCAUUUUGUUUGUCUAUACAGCUUCCAACGCAAACUCAAAACACACCGAGUUCUUAAAUCUCCAAUGGGACACACACACUAAGCUGUGGUGGUGGAAAAGUUGGGACAAAAUAUGUGUUUAAUCUCCCACAAAGGUAAUGUGUACUGCAUUGUAGCUGAGCUACACACGUCAUGGGAGGAUUCAUUCUUAGGCCUAUGAUGAACAACAUGCUGAAUGGUUGACAAUGUCACACCAGUUGUUCAAUGGAAAAUUCUUACUCGACACCGGUGUAAAAUAAUUAAACAGGACAUUAAUUAAAUAAUAUUUGCAAGCAGGAGACACAUUGACACACUUACAAAGUUAUGGAUCAAGGCUACUGAAAGGUCUUCUUCUUCAAAGCGGGAAUAUAUAGAAGGAAGAUAAACAUGCUAAAAUAGAGGGGGCUGUGGGCAAAGACUGCAUAUGUGCUGGUGAUUGAUCUUGAAUGUAGACGACCAUCUUUGGCACCACAACACAUAUCUUGAUUAGGAGAUAACCCAGAACACAAUGUGCCACUGUGUGAAAGAACAGGCUUUUUUUUAUUUUCUAUCAAUUCUAGAGCCAUUCAGCUCUGAUAUUGGCCCUGACUUUUCCAUCCUAUUUUGGGUAUUUUCUGACAUUGUGACAUCCCCCCCCCUCUCUUUCCUGUCAUCGCUAUUCCGACAAGAUCUGCAGUUUCCUGUCCUAGGGGGGAGAGUGGAACAUUCAAAACCUCUUCAUCUCCAAGGCAAUUUUGAGGCACCUUGUCCCCCAUGGUCAAUUUGUCACCAUGCUGAACGCCAGGAGGUGUCCUUGGGGCUGACCAUUGGUCAUUGCUCCACCUGACACUCGGAGAGGAAGAAAAAGAAGGAAGCAUAAGGAGAGAGGCAGAGGAGCAUGGGAGAGAAUGAACCUGACAAAGGCCCCGCAACAGAUCCGUCCCACUCAGCAGAGCCAAGGGAGUAUGCAGCCGGCUGUCAGCACCUCUCAUUAGUCAAAGGCAGCCUCCUUGACAAUGUGACACUGAUUACUGAAAACCCUGAUUCAGAGUUUCUCUCCUUCUCUGCGUAGCCGCAAACAGUGUCAGCUAAAGCUGCAUGCACAUGUUCACUCACACACACACACACACACAAACACACCCCAGUUCAAUCCACUCUCUUUUCUCUCCGAAAUACUUGAAGUGCAUUUCAUUUCAUUAUUCCCUUCCCAUCUCCAGGGGGACUAAAGCCUUCAUUAAAAAGAGUGAUAAAGGGCAAACGGGUGUCUUCCAGCUCUAUUUAGAAUCUAUUUAUUGAUUUCAAAUGGUGUAAAUAAAUAUGGAACGGCAUUAUUGUAUACAGAGGCCUUGACACUGGCAGAAGUUGUGGAAUUAAAAGGGAAUGAAGAGUGGCAUUCAUUAAGAGUUUAUCAUUUUUAUCGAUCCAGCUGACAUGUCUCAGCACUCAGGAGGAUCUGAUUGCUUUUACUUAAUCACUGCAUAGAUUGGAAAGGAGGAUUGAAAUUAAGUAUGGGUUCAGAUAUAAGAAUUGGUAUUGUCUACAAAUAUCGAGUAGAAUACUGUCAGUUUUGACUUUCUUGGAGACUCAGGCUCCUAAGCAUGCUGAUAGAUUUCACUAACAAACACUGCACUACACAACGCAUUGCAACAUCAGUACCAGUACACCAAAAAUGCAUCCAGCUCAUCCUUUCAGAGCUCUGAGAUGUACCACACAUAUCAGCGUAGCAAAUCAUAAUUACAAUUUUUUAACUUCAUAGAUGUACACUGCAGAUUUCACAAUGAUGGCGCAAAUAUUUUUGGAGUUUUGGAGUGUAUAUGGAAAAUACCUUUGGUAUUCUAUUUUGUUUGUAAUCACAAUUUCUUAUACAUAACUUUCUUUGUGCCAAGCCACUAGUAACGUGGGCCAGGAUCCUGAUCCAUGAGGAGAUGACUGAUACAUAUAACAACAAUAACAACAAUAAUGGUUAAUUAUCUUCAGGUGUCAAAAGUAUUCACAUUGAUUACUCUGGUAGAAGUAUAGAUUCUAGGGUUUAAAAAGAGUUUUGUAGAAAGUAUCAACCAACUUUCCACCGACCAUUUUUUGCACCCGGCGUCACUCUGAUCUGCAGGAGCAUCGCGGAGAAAACCAAUAGGGUGUCUGGAUGGUAUUUGUUUAUACUUCUCAUCCAACCACAAUCACAUUCACUCUAUCUGGAUUUAUCUGGAUAGUUUUUUUUGUGUGUGUAUUUUUGAACAAAGACAAGCCAGAAGUAACAAGGCUAUUUUUAGGCUAAAUGUAAGGAGUAGAAAGUACAGAUAUUUGCGUGAAAAUGUAAUGAGUAGAAGUAAAAAAGUUGUCUGAAAAAUAAAUACUCUAGUAAAGUAUAGAUACCCAAGAUUUCUACUUAAGUAUUUGUACUUCGUUACUUGACACCUCUGAUUAUCUUAUAUAUGUUUCAAAGUUGUUGUGUGGUUACAACUAGGACCUUUUUUAUCUUAGAAUUUAUUCUAAUUUUGCAGAAAAUCUUUUAUGGGAGCUCAAUGCGGAUGACCUCAUACUUUAAAUAAUUUGGUGCAUUCAAUGAAAACAGAUAGCUUAAGUAAAUUUGUCUUUAUUCUUGAGUGCUUGGCCAGUGUUAAACCACUGCGUCAACAGAUCAUGUGGGUCAGAUGAGCCAAAGCUAGAGGAAUAGUACUGCUAAUGGGAAAAGCGCUUUCUAACAUUAGUUGACUGCUUAGCAGAAGCGUCAUACCUCACCCACAUGUCCAUGAAGGGAACCUCCUCUCAUUCACAGACUAAACUUAAAGAUGCUGUAAGGAAUUUUCAUGCAAAAAUCCAAGGUUGAGUCAACAGGCUGACAGUGUCGGAACAGGAAGUACAUGAACAAUAUCAGGACACGCUGGAGAGCGUGGCAAUAACUCAGAAGACAAUCUGGCAGAGGACAAGUGUAAUUGAGAAGACCUAAAGUGAGGGACUAAUGAGAGAAUGGGCUACAGGGGAGAAGGGCGUGAGGACCAUGGUGAAGGGAAUUAGAGAUGAUCUGGAAUGACAGGAGAGUUCAUUAAACAGGCAGGCAGUAUGGAAACAACUAAUAAGGGGAAGAAUUUAGUUCUGCUAAGAACACUGCGUCCAAAUCAUUGGUUCCAAUGAGUAUUCAUAUUCUGCUGACAGUGUUCAUCUCUGAUUAAAAAUGAACACCAUCAGCUGACUGAAUCAAAGAGGGAAUGCUCAUUUUCAUGUAAUAUUAUACUGAUACCAUUUGAGAAACCCAUAGGCUCAAUAGGAUAUAUUAGUUUACAUAUAAACCACCUUCAAAGAAGAUGACUAAAGUGGAAAUUGAGCUUUUUCUUUAAAGAGCUAAAACUUUGAAAUAUCUUCAGCUAAGUUGAGUUUCAUGAAGAAACAGCAAGCAGGGGCUGUGAGAGGGGAGGUGACGGUGGGAGACACUCCCUGCCUCUGCAAAAGGCCCUUUUCGUGUGGCUACUUUGAGGGCUGGCGCCAGGAAGCUUGACCCCUGUGCGAAGAGUGUCUACCCUGCCCUUCAGGCGCUAGCCUAGCAAGGGCAAGGAUUAAAGGGAAUUUGUAGGGAGUCCUUUAGCUCUGCAAUUCACACUUCUACACUGCGUUUGUGCCACCUGUGGACUUGCCGGGGGGAGCGCGGUCGGUGAGCCUUUGAUUGAUCCACGUGGCGUUUUGACCUAACAGGGUUCCGCCUCCUAUCUAUACUAGAAAGCCUGCAGCUAGCUCCCACUGAAAGUUGAGAGCAUUUCUCUCUAGGUCUCCUGUGUUUCAGCCUCCCCGACAUGAAUACUAAGUAAUCACUCCAUGGCGCAGUUCAUUUAUCCCCACUUAACCCUCUGACCAAUUGACUGCUUCGCUUGUUUGUCAAUCUGCCUUCACAGUGAUGCAAGUAUGCGGAAUCCUCCUCUUUAGAGAGUUGCUAUUGUAACUGCAAUGCAUUGCACAGUGUCUACUUGUCAGUAUACAGGGGGUAUAUUAUGUAUCAGACGCUGCAAUCCUCCCUUCUCACUAUCUGGGCUCUAACAAGGGCAGGAUAACAGCUAGAUUGACAGCUGCUGGGGCAUCUUAACAGCCUUGGUGUUAAACUGAUAAACUCUGAGGAGGCAUGUUUGAUUGGCUGCCAAACCACACAGAACACAAACCCACAGCAUUCACUAUUACCAUUUUCCAAAUGACCAUAAGCUUUCCCAAGGAUGGAAAAAAAACAUAUUGAGUUAUUUCUAUAGAUAUGCAGCAGACUAGUUGUACUCGAUUAAUUAAAAAGUUUAGCUCUGGAUUAUUGGGGCAAUGUGUGUUUGUGUGACAUUUAGUCAUUUUAUUAUAUGUAUCAGUCAUCCCUUAGAUGUUAGUAAAUGAUGGGCUGAUUAUUAAUACAUGUUGAUAUAAAUGAAACAUUAGUCAUUGUUAAAGUAAAUUCUGUCAUAAACAUACCAAGCGUCAUUAAAGAUUCACAGAAAGCGAUUAUGUUAAUUAUUUUCUGAUACAAAUGACUUUCCAUCUAUCUGAAGUUAUUAUGAACAAAUAGUUUCUACAUGAUUAAUAGGUAGCAAGAUAUUAUUUUUGGGACUGGUUUCUGGUUUUGGAACUCCAUCUAAUGAAACUCUACAUUGAGAAGUUCCAAUUGUGAGCAAACUCUUUCUGCUGAUGUAGCCCAUGAGAUAUGAUAAAAAAAAAUCAAAUGCUUAAUGUGAAGUAUGAGUUCAUUUUCUACUUUGAAAUUGACAAAACAACCCAGAGCUUUCUAGUCAGCUUUCUAUCUAUUUCUGAAGCUUUCUGUUGUGUCACACAGUCCAGCGUUGGCUCCCUUCAAUUGUGUGUCAUUUGUCAUUUAAAAGCCUACAUGGACUGGAAGUCUUUAAAGUGCUCCAGGGUGGAAUCAUUACUGAGUUUGAAUGUCCCCAUCUCCAUGACAACUGAAUAAAAGAAGGGUUGAUGAAGCCCAUGUGAUACAGUUAAAAGCUCGAGACGUGGCUGAUAAACAAUCCUAAAUUAGUCUGUUUGGUAGAAAUGAAAAUUACCAUUUACUGUCUAAACAGUGGUAGCUGCGUACCCUGUGCACAUUUUUCUAUUUUUAAAGGUGUUGCGUGAGAAAAUGUUUCUGAAAAAUAUUUUUUUCAAUUUAGAAUUUACAAAAAGCUCCUCAGUGCUAGUCGGGCACCUGUUGUGUGGCGAGUAAAUUCAGAGGGGAAUGAAAAAACUAACGCUCUUGUAGAGUUUGCCAGUUCUUUUUUUUCACCACCAUGUCUUUCCAAAACAGAGGGAAAGUUGAAAACACCAUUUGUCAGUGCACAUUUCAUCUGAGCUGUUAUGGUCCAAAGAGAAAGCCCAGUAUGUGGCGCCUUUCAACAGAACAUGGUACCAGGCCUUGUUAUUUGGACUCGGCUUUGUUCUCCAUGAAGGCUUAUUAUCAUUACUGACUGAGAAUUACUGGGCCAGAAUGCCACCAUUUUAAAAUACAUAAAAAAUGUGAACACUGAACACAGUGUCUAUGCCUUCAAUAGAUAUUACAAUUAAAAAUGAAAUUAUACCAAAAACAUUGAAUUGAUUUUCUCAAACAGCCAUACUUGAACCGUAUGUGCAGCUUUUAUGAGUGAAAGUGUAUGUGGCCUACAGCUGGUUAGUGCUACUGUCUUGCAUGAAAAAGUCAGUGAUUUAUAAGCACUGUGACUGUAGUCACUUUGUAGUCACGUUUAAUUGACUCGGGGGUGAUUUAAAGUUAUAGAUCUUCCAAAAAUCACAAACAUGUUCUUCCUGGCUGUACUAUUAAUCAAAUUAGUUUUGUCUAUGUUGUCUAGUUUCAGUGACAUCAACUCUAGGGGUCUCCUCAAAUAUUUUGGGGGUAUAUGGACCUCUGACCCAGAAAUUAUCACCAGUUAAUUUAAGAUAAUCCACAGGCCUUGUUCAUGUAAAACAUGUUUUCUGAAUAUACAUAAACAGAGCGAGAGUGUAAGACCGGACGUCCUCAGCUGGGACAGAUCGGGCAGAUGUUGAGGAUGAAGUGCAAUCAGGUUGAAGCGCCUCCAAUACAUGGAACAUGAACACCUACACACACACACACACACACAUACAGACAGACAAAGAAAUCACAAUUGGAAAAAAAGGAGGCAUGGAUUGAUAAAAAGCAAUACAGGUAAGGGGAGCAAUGUUGAUUCUUUAUUUUCGAGUGAACAGACACUUGUAUUCAAGUACUAACUUAAAAUCAUCCAACAACUUAAACCUAUGCUGCAUAACUAACGCAAUACAAUUCACCAUGGCUGGCUUUCCACCGGUAGCCUAGCGCGUUACAGUAUUAGCGACCCAGCUAGGAUAGUCCUGGGCGGCUGAAGCGAGUGAACGUCAUUCACUGGGAUGAUUGGAUUGAGGCAGACCUAAGCGUACCUCGAGCUGCACUUAUCAGCUAGCUGGCAGAUAGGACUUGUCAUACUGCCUGUCAGAUCUGAUGAGGGGAGCAUGAGCUUCACAAUGGAGCUAAAAUGCAAUCUCCUCCUGUGCAGCUGCAUCCCCUGCCUCAGGGACACGCUUAUUAGACGUUGUAAACAGCCAAAUGUGAGCGCUAAACUGUAAGAGCUACUGUCAGGCAGCGUGCGUCAGCCAGUUAGCCAAAGCUGGGAGCAAUUCCAUACAAAACUACUGUUGUAGUAAAGGGCCUCACCUCUGAAUGGGAGGGCUAUGUGAAGAACAUACACGGUAAAGUUUGUUGCACUGUAUUUUAACUCCAUCUAUGUAGCCUUAAACAUGACUUAUAGAUGAAUAAGUGAAUAAGUUCAAGUUAAAUUAAGUAAUUAAAAAAAAACACUGACAUGGUCCUCUAAGCAAAUAAAUGGGCAACAUAAUUAUUUAACUACGUCCGUAAACUUGUGUAAUCAUCAGAUGUGUAUUAUAUUCUCAAAUGUGAUAUACAUGUCAUGUAUUUGGUACAGUUGUCAAUAACAUGAAUCUACAUUUGGAAGUGCUUUGUCCCACCUGCUUUCCACUACAUUUAAGUGUCUCGUGCAUAUCUAGAAAUAGCCUUUUCAGAAUUAGUGUUCCUUAAACCUCCAAGAUCAAAAAAGUACAAAUCUCUCAUUUGAGAAAGGUGAUUACAGUGCAGCACUAUUCAUAUGUAGCUUCGCAACGUUGCCACGUCUACAAAGGAAAUAAUGAGGGUCGGAGUAAGAAAUAGAGGUCUACACAAAGAAGGGCUGAUUAGCCUUUAUUAGCCCUUUCCUGCUCUUUUAACUCUCACAUCCUAAUAACCAGGUAGAGAGCCCUCGGCUGCACGCAAUGCCAUCAAGACCAGCUUUGCUCUUUUUUUCUUUUCUUUCUUCCUUUCCUUCUUUAUUUGUUCCCUGUAUCAAAAUCACUCCCCCCGUUUAAUAUAUUCACUCUUUCUUCUGAUUUUGGCCCUUUCACCAAAUACCUCCUAGUCCCUCUGAAAUCAUAUUAUGUAAACCGGCGUCUAUGCAUAGGAUUUCCAGAGGAGUCUCAGCGACGUUUAAUAUCUGGCUGAGUACAAAGAGCAAAAGAAAAAGAGAACAGGUUGACGGGAGACUGUGGAGCACAUGUUCUCUGUUCUGCUUUCCUGAGAUCAUUAAUUUCUGCAAAAGAGAUGUCCCCGGGUGAGACUCAUUCACAUGCAGAUGGCACUAUUCCUCGGGAGCCUCUAUCGCUCUUUCUCUCUCCUUCCAUCGGGCCAUUUAGUGCUCCCUUUCUCUCUCUCUUUUGCUGUGUCACCCCCUUCUAUAUUAAGCAAACGGUUCACUUCGCAGCCUUUAGGUGACAUAGCACUCAUAUUUCAGCACUGGGGUACAGGAGUAAUGCGUUGUGCCGCUAUGGAUACAUUACAUGAAAAUUUGUCUCUUUUUAAAAGAGAGCGAAUUCAGGGAGGGUGAGAGAUGAAGGCAUUUAUCUAUGGAGAUAAUUCUCUUCGGUUUCUUUCCAACCAAAAUGUCCAUUUUUCUUCACGCUCCUCACGCUUGACACGCGGCUGAAUAUCUGGCCUUCAUGUUGCGAUAUAAUGCUAGUUCAUCCUACACAUAUCAAGCCACAAGUUGUUUGUUUUGUUUUUUAUAGUAGACGCUUCCCAACAAAGAGGACAGGUCUGUGGCCUUGCUGCUGUCGUGGCCAUUUUAACGGUUGCUGUGUGUCUAAAAUUAAGAAACGCCAGAUGGACAGAAGACCUCUUACAAUCAAAAGAAUUUAAUAAAAGGAAAGGCGUUGUGCUAAAAAGAACAUCUCAGCUGAGGAGCAGCUGGUCUCUGCAAUCAACAGGCCACAGGGCAGCUCGUUCACCACCCAUUGUGACUGUCUCUUCCUCCUACCAACGAACUCCUGGAACAAUGGGGGGCUACAGGUAUUUAUACAGAUCAGUAUAUAUGUGAAAGGCAUUGUCCACUUCUGGCAUGUGACUUCUCCUGGUGCGUUCAUUGUAACUCGGAUUUCGAAUGUCUCUUGGUCAAUAUCAGUUGUGGUGUUAUCAAGUAUUACAUGCAUGCAUAUCGGGUUGAUUACAUUACAUGGAAUACAAACACUGCUGUGCAUCUGUAUUAUUCUAUUGAUUACAGUUUCAAAAUUACAGUGGUGUUACAAUAUUCUCAUUUCUUUAUUGAUUACAUAGAAUCAUAGCUGUAUACUGGUGUAAUCUAAAUGCAUUAUUAAUUGGUCUAAGUCAUGAACUGGGACAUCAGUUUCUUUAUCCACACUGUCAAUCUUUAGUUUGCAUCUUCUCACCGUCUAACAGCAGCCCCUGCGUUGGUGUGUGCCGUGGUAGUAAUUAGUCAUUAGUGACCCGUUAGUGCAGGCAUUUGUGCCGUAACUCUGCGGCGUUGGCUGCAAUCACUCACCACCUCUUCUCAUCCCUCUCUUUUUCCAGUUCAUGUUCAACCUGAUAUACUUUGAUGACACACUUCUUUGAAGACCUGAUCAAAGACGCAGCCCUUUGAUGAAAAUAAUGUUUGCUGUUGGUGAGGGGGUAAGGAGGAAUACCAAUCGUAUUUUUCAGGGAGAGACCGAGAGAGCGAGAGAAGGGAAGGAAGGAAGGAAGCAUACCGUUCAACGGAUACGUCACUCUCUUUGCAAAAUAUCAAGUUUAUUAAGACUGUUUCCAACUGAAAAUAAUAUGCUAAUCAAGUAUUCUUUUUGGUUACAAUGAAGGGGUGAAAUGCAAAGCUACUGUCUAUCUAUUUGAGAUAUCAAUUAGUCGAGAAGUGAACAAAAUACAAAAUGUCAUGACAUUCUAAAGCAAUACCUACACAUUUAACCAAAGUACAAAGCCUCAAUGAGGCAAUAGAAAAAUCUCACUGUUAGCAUGGUAGCUUGUUAACGUUUGCAAACUAGCACCAAAAAUAAAGUACUUAGUGUUUCCCUUAGGUUUACAACUUCAGGGGGGUUUAGUAGUCGGGCAGAUGGUCCGGGCAGUAGAGUGAGCUUGGUUUGUAGGGGAGGGGCAGGUGAUGUAUUAUUCGGUUAAAAGUCUAAUAGUGCCGGGAGGGCACCCCGGCGCUCGCAGCAGCGGGGCAGAGAGCGCCAGGACUUAUUGCCGACUUAUUGCCGACUUAUUUGCGCCACCCUGUUAUAACGGUAGGGGAAACACUGAGUACUGUACAGAUUGGGUUAAUGUGAUUGUGUUUUGCAGGUGCUUGGUUUAAACCCAAAGUGUUGGAUACGAUCCAACCAAUAUGGUUUUUACCUGAUGAUGAUAGUGGUUUAUGAAAAUGAAGGGAUCACUAAAGUGAUAGAUGUUACAUUUACGCACCAAACACCAGGCUAGUCUCCACUUGUCACAUGGCCGUGUAUCAGUUGUUGCGUUUCCCCUAUCCUAAUUUUUAGAUUUUAUCCGUUGCGUUCUUUGCACCGGUGUGCUCUUGUGCCCGGUGAGAACAGAGCAGAAGACGGAGCCGGGCAUCUGUAUUCAGGUGCACUAAUGGAAUCACUGAGGCUAAAAUGGCAGGAGGUGAAAGGUGAGUGCACAGAAGACAGCUCCACACCACUGCUGCUGCUGUGCCAAACCGCUCGACUGUGAUAGUAUGGGAAGGUUGUGCGCUUCAGCGUGCCUGAAUAUGUGUGUGUGCAUAAGUGAGAAUGCAAUAGGGAGUUUUUUUUGUGCUCGGAUGGUUGUGGAAGGAAUUUCGCAAUCAAUUUAUUUUUGUUCAAAGGCAUUUGUCUUUUGUUAGUUUCACUCUGCUGUGGGUUUUGAAAGGUUUGCUAUCCGAACUGUGUGCUGGGAGUUACUAACAAAAUAGCUAUUGACUUUCCAUUCUCUAUAUAGUUUAGCUCUACUGAAGGUGUGGUUCAAUGCAUAGCUUGACAUGAAAAUAAAUCUCAUUGUAUGUACAUUGCGGGGGUUAUUGGUUGCUGUAGAAGUUUUACACAGGAUUUGUUUGCCAAAGUUGAAAACAAAAAAGCAAUAGUAAAGGCCUUUACCUAAAAAUCUGCUUUUUAAAGGUAAUUUUAAUAAAUCCCCAAAAUCCAAAAUCACGAGGGGAAAAACACAGACACGGACCAGUAACUCACAGGCAAGACAUUUACGAGCACGAACGGCAUUCAGGGUUGAACAUUCAAUGACGCGACAAGGGACAAGAUACACACAUGGCUUAAAUACACUGGGAAGGUGCAGGGGAUUGGACACAGGUGGAAACAAUUAUGGAGACUGCAGACAAUCACAGGAGAUGACAGGACAAGGCAGGAAGUGAAGUUAACCCAGGGACACCAGAGGCAUGAAACUACAAAAUAAAACGAGAUGUGAACCCAAACCGUGACAAUCUACAGCUAACAUAUAUACAUUUACAUUACCUGUAUAUGAUGCUAAAGCCGUAUACUCCACUGAGUAGAAUUAGUAUGCAGUUUGGGAUACGUUUGAGAUCUGUACUUUACGAUUUCCCAUCUUUAUUUUUGACAGAAUAACCAGCAUGUUUUAUGCUUCAUAAAACAGCACUGAAAUUGAUAAGUCAGAAUUAUCUGGAAGUUUUGUUCGAAGCUUUUGGCUCAGUCUCCUUCUCAAAAACAAACUAUUUCCCAGAUCGCUUCCUGGAAGAAAUUACACAGUAGGCUGUCAAAUCAAUUCUUGCAUGUUCCAGCCAGAGCAACAAGAGUCGAAGCCUGAAGAAUUGGCCUCAGCCAAUUAGCUUCAGACUUGUGAAGAGGCGGCAGAGGAAGCAUAUUAGGCAGACCCACAACAAUAUGAGAAAUUGCAGAAAGAAGCAUAGGCAGCAAGUGAACCGCAAGUCAGAGGUUGCUUUGCCACAGCGUGUCCAGAGUACAACAAAUCAACAGUUUGGCUAUUUGGUUUGAACUAGCCGGGCUAGCUUGAAUAAUAAACAAAGACCAGCGUUCUGCCACACAACUGGGGAAGAUCAAGACUUUGCUGUGGGGAGCCAGUUGUGUAGUAACUGAUUCGGUUUAGACGGUAGCGCAAGGGACUGCCUGUGUAUGUGACAGAGGGGGUUGUAAUAAUGGUCUUUUUAUCCGAAGAUACAUUGGGAAAAACAACCAAUGGCAGCAGAAUAAAGACAUUGGAAAACCUUCUUGUGGGUUCCAUCAAUUGUUAUCACAGCAGAUUGGGGUGUGAUGAACUUUGGAAAACACAUGAAAAGAUACUGUAAAAUAACACCGAAAGAGUGGUCUUAUUGCAGCAGUCACAGCAGAACGGGGUAUGUGAUUUGUUCUAAGCUAGAUGGAUACACCAUAUUUUUUUCACAGCCAGCUCCCGCAAGGUCCCUCACUGGAAUACACAGAGUAGUCAGCUUUUACCCUGCACAGCCACACACACACACAGCUUUAAAGGUAUACCUCAUAUAAACAUGCACUCCAAAAUUCUGUAAGAUAUAAAUAUAAUAAUUAUGUGACGGUAAAACACAGUAAUUUGUAAUGACAUCACACAUGGCACAGAUUUUGUGCCAGCUUGUUGUGCAGCGUUCAGCCUCUUUGACUCAGCCUAAAUACACACACAACACUUUGGUCACGUAGCUGCUGCUUAAAAUCUCAUUUCAAUUCAGAUCCCUGCACAAUAGUCUAUAAUGUUUAAAAGGCCAAAUAACCGAAAAUAUUGAACCAAAAUGUUGCCCUAAUGUUGUGUUACUGAGGCAAAGGCUGAAUGCUCUAAUUCCAAACAAAGUCAGAAAAGGCUGGAAAAGCUUUUCGGUCUGAGGCCCGAGAAGGAAAUUGGACUUUGGGAAAACGAGGAUGAAAAUUUGACACAUUGUUCAGCUCAAAUGCUCUUCAAAUCCAGGUGUAUGAAUCUGCUGCUAUCUGACUGGAAUGCUUUUACAUGUUUAUCAGAAUGAAAGUCCGGAUGCAUUAAACUUUCCAUUUGAAGCUCCUGGCUGUUGUGUGAAAAGAAGCAGGUCAGGCCAUGAGGGAGAUCGAUGACUUUGAACACCAUCUCCAGGCUGACAGUGGGAGGGAGCAGUUCAAGAGGAAUUGUCCAUUUGGAAAACAGGCAAAAAUACAUGAAAUAUAUAAAACUAAUGUGGGAGUUCACUUCCUGGACACAUGCAUUUAAAAUCUCAAUUGGUUGUAUUAAGAACACAUGUUUUAUAUCACAGAAUAAUCCCACAACACCUUUCACAUUUCACUUAUGUCAACUUAUUUUCUAAAUGUAUCUAAUAAGAAUAAAAACAUUUUAAGAAAUAAUCUAAUAAGACAAAUAUUACAAGCCACAUUUAUAUCUGCUGUUGAGUUGCCAUGUUACGCAAAAUGAAAGCAAAAGAAGAUUGAUACAAAGGAAACAUCUAGAUCUUAUGACUUAUCAUACUUCUUUGCAUGUUAUAUUUUGAUUAUUGUCAACCAAAUGGUACCUCAUUAUUUAGAUGGAAUAGCAAAUUAAAUGGAUUUGAUGCAUUUCUUAUCUGCAAUGUAACCAUGAAUGCAUCAUGUACAGUUCUUGUUUAGCUGCUCCUGAAUGAAGACACCCCCUUCCAGCAUGUCAGAGUGCUUUCUGCCUGUCCAACCCCGCAAAUUUGGACGCUCAAUGUUAAGGAACCGUUUCUUAUCGAUACACGCUCUCUUUUUAGAAUGAUAUUCCAAUGUAUGUUCACUUAGUUUUUACUUUUACUUAGCAACAAUGACAGUCUGAACAUAAACACAGUUGUUAAAAUUGUUACUGAUUACUGUAUUUACAGCUGAUCUGACCAAUUUGUAGAUGGACAUGGAUGGGGCGUAAUUAAACUGGGUUUAACUCUAAAAAUGUAAACGAGAACGCUAUUUUCAAGAAACAGCCAUCCUGACAAUUUAAUUAAAUCAGAGAAACUGCAGUGAAAUAAAGAAAAAUACAAAACGCUACCAUUCAGUCCCCGUUAUGAAAAUCUUAGCCACUGAGGUUUGGCGACUCAGUGUGAUGCUGCACUGUAGUGGGCGGCAGGGCCGACCAGCUGCUGCCAAAGGGAGAUGCAGAGACCGUCCAGCCGAGGAAAAGUCAGCAGGGUGUUUUCUGCCCCACAGUUCUAAAAACCGCUGUGUGCACUUCAAAUCCAGUUGAAAAAAAAAAAAAAAACGUUUUAGGACUGUUUUUCAAAAAUUCAACACUACUAAUUAGAUGGGAAAAGUCCACAAUGUUAUACAUACAGGCCUGUUUAUCCAUCAAGGAGGUUCCUAUUCCUCCUGUGAGACAGGUACAAUGAGAGCAAAAGAUUUGUUAAAUCAGAGAAGAUAACCCUUGAGGAUGUUCAAGCGUACUUGCAAGGGCUAUAACGUUUCAGUGUGGAGAAAACACAUUACUAAUGCAUGGCUUGGAAUUUGAAAGUCAGGGAUGGUCUAAGCAAACGAUACCGUUGGGUGCAUUAUCUAAAAAUGUAUGAUGCAGCGUUCUCUGGGUUUUUAGGG
ensembl:lncRNA